rnacentral:lncRNA from 1 species
CUGAUAACUACUAUAUAGUAAGUAUUAUGUAGUGUACUGCCAUGAUGGCAAAAAUAAAUCAGUUAUUAGAAUUUAGUUAAUAAAACUAUUGUUUAGAAAUAGAAAUCUUCUCUCCGUUAAAAAGAAAUUGGGUAAAAAUUGGGUAAUAAUUCUGACUUCAACUCUAUCUGCUCAUCAUAACAUUCUCAUGCUGAUUGUGCUGUUUAGUUUCUGUUCAUACUUUGUGGUUGAUCAUAAUGUCAUUGUAUAAAGAAGAACGAAACGUUGGCUCGUCACAAUGAAACCUGAACUAUUCUUUGUGGAUUGACCUCACUCUCAUGUGAAGUCAUAUGAACAUCAUUCUGCUGGGUUUGAAACAGAGUGAAGGAUUACUCUUUAGUCUGUGACUGUUUUCUUUAUUUCUAUAGCUGAACACACAUUUUAAGAAGCUUCAUGAAUGGCUGUUCAUGCAGUGUAUUGGUUUAUUUUUUAUUUUGAAUAAAUAUAAUUAAAAGUC